rnacentral:rRNA from 1 species
AGAGUUUGAUCCUGGCUCAGGACGAACGCUGGCGGCGCGCCUAACACAUGCAAGUCGAACGAGCGAGAGAGAGCUUGCUUUCUCGAGCGAGUGGCGAACGGGUGAGUAACGCGUGAGGAACCUGCCUCAAAGAGGGGGACAACAGUUGGAAACGACUGCUAAUACCGCAUAAGCCCACGGCUCGGCAUCGAGCAGAGGGAAAAGGAGCAAUCCGCUUUGAGAUGGCCUCGCGUCCGAUUAGCUAGUUGGUGAGGUAACGGCCCACCAAGGCGACGAUCGGUAGCCGGACUGAGAGGUUGAACGGCCACAUUGGGACUGAGACACGGCCCAGACUCCUACGGGAGGCAGCAGUGGGGAAUAUUGCACAAUGGGGGAAACCCUGAUGCAGCGACGCCGCGUGGAGGAAGAAGGUCUUCGGAUUGUAAACUCCUGUUGUUGAGGAAGAUAAUGACGGUACUCAACAAGGAAGUGACGGCUAACUACGUGCCAGCAGCCGCGGUAAAACGUAGGUCACAAGCGUUGUCCGGAAUUACUGGGUGUAAAGGGAGCGCAGGCGGGAGAACAAGUUGGAAGUGAAAUCCAUGGGCUCAACCCAUGAACUGCUUUCAAAACUGUUUUUCUUGAGUAGUGCAGAGGUAGGCGGAAUUCCCGGUGUAGCGGUGGAAUGCGUAGAUAUCGGGAGGAACACCAGUGGCGAAGGCGGCCUACUGGGCACCAACUGACGCUGAGGCUCGAAAGUGUGGGUAGCAAACAGGAUUAGAUACCCUGGUAGUCCACACCGUAAACGAUGAUUACUAGGUGUUGGAGGAUUGACCCCUUCAGUGCCGCAGUUAACACAAUAAGUAAUCCACCUGGGGAGUACGACCGCAAGGUUGAAACUCAAAGGAAUUGACGGGGGCCCGCACAAGCAGU